rnacentral:rRNA from 1 species
GGGGAAUAUUGCACAAUGGGGGAAACCCUGAUGCAGCGACGCCGCGUGAGCGAAGAAGUAUUUCGGUAUGUAAAGCUCUAUCAGCAGGGAAGAAAAUGACGGUACCUGACUAAGAAGCACCGGCUAAAUACGUGCCAGCAGCCGCGGUAAUACGUAUGGUGCAAGCGUUAUCCGGAUUUACUGGGUGUAAAGGGAGCGUAGACGGCUGUGUAAGUCUGAAGUGAAAGCCCGGGGCUCAACCCCGGGACUGCUUUGGAAACUAUGCAGCUAGAGUGUCGGAGAGGUAAGUGGAAUUCCCAGUGUAGCGGUGAAAUGCGUAGAUAUUGGGAGGAACACCAGUGGCGAAGGCGGCUUACUGGACGAUGACUGACGUUGAGGCUCGAAAGCGUGGGGAGCAAACAGGAUUAGAUACCCUGGUAGUCCACGCCGUAAACGAUGACUACUAGGUGUCGGGGAGCAAAGCUCUUCGGUGCCGCAGCAAACGCAAUAAGUAGUCCACCUGGGGAGUACGUUCGCAAGAAUGAAACUCAAAGGAAUUGACGGGGACCCGCACAAGCGGUGGAGCAUGUGGUUUAAUUCAAAGCAACGCGAAGAACCUUACCUGCUCUUGACAUCCCGGUGACCGGCGUGUAAUGACGCCUUUUCUUCGGAACACCGGUGACAGGUGGUGCAUGGUUGUCGUCAGCUCGUGUCGUGAGAUGUUGGGUUAAGUCCCGCAACGAGCGCAACCCUUAUCUUCAGUAGCCAGCAAUUCGGAUGGGCACUCUGGAGAGACUGCCAGGGAUAACCUGGAGGAAGGUGGGGAUGACGUCAAAUCAUCAUGCCCCUUACGAGCAGGGCUACACACGUGCUACAAUGGCGUAAACAAAGGGAAGCGAGCCUGCGAGGGUAAGCAAAUCUCAAAAAUAACGUCUCAGUUCGGAUUGUAGUCUGCAACUCGACUACAUGAAGCUGGAAUCGCUAGUAAUCGCGAAUCAGCAUGUCGCGGUGAAUACGUUCCCG